rnacentral:rRNA from 1 species
CGUCCGGCGACCGGCGCACGGGUGCGUAACGCGUAUGCAACCUACCCAUAACAGGGGGAUAACACUGAGAAAUUGGUACUAAUACCCCAUAACAUCAGGACCGGCAUCGGUUCUGGUUGAAAACUCCGGUGGUUAUGGAUGGGCAUGCGUUGUAUUAGCUGGUUGGUGAGGUAACGGCUCACCAAGGCAACGAUACAUAGGGGGACUGAGAGGUUAACCCCCCACAUUGGUACUGAGACACGGACCAA